rnacentral:rRNA from 1 species
UGCGUAGGGCGCGAGCGUUGUCCGGAAUUAUUGGGCGUAAAGAGCUCGUAGGCGGCCUGUUGCGUCCGCUGUGAAAUCCCGGGGCUCAACCCUGGGCGUGCAGUGGAUACGGGCAGGCUGGAGGCAGGCAGGGGAGAACGGAAUUCCAGGUGUGAGCGGUGAAAUGACGUAGAGUAUCUGGAGGAACGACCGGUGGCGAAGGCGGCAUCCUGGACCGGUAUUGACGCUGAGGCGCGAAAGCCAGGGAGCAACGGG